rnacentral:rRNA from 1 species
AGAGUUUGAUCCUGGCUCAGAACGAACGCUGGCGGCAUGCCUAACACAUGCAAGUCGAACGGGAUCCGGACUUCGGUUCGGUGAGAGUGGCGGACGGGUGAGUAACGCGUGGGAACCUGCCCAGUGGUGGGGGAUAACUGCGGGAAACUGCAGCUAAUACCGCAUGAGCCCGAGAGGGGAAAGAUUUAUCGCCAUUGGAGGGGCCCGCGUUCGAUUAGGUAGUUGGUGAGGUAAUGGCUCACCAAGCCGACGAUCGAUAGCUGGUCUGAGAGGAUGAUCAGCCACACUGGGACUGAGAUACGGCCCAGACUCCUACGGGAGGCAGCAGUGGGGAAUAUUGGACAAUGGGGGCAACCCUGAUCCAGCAAUGCCGCGUGAGUGAUGAAGGCCUUCGGGUUGUAAAGCUCUUUUGGCGGGGACGAUGAUGACGAUACCCGCAGAAUAAGCCCCGGCUAACUUCGUGCCAGCAGCGGCGGUAAUUC